rnacentral:sRNA from 1 species
GCCGGGCAAUGUGGAGCACACCUGUAAUCCCAGUGGCUCAGGAGGCUGAGGCAGGAGGAUCUCGAGUUCAAAGCCAGCCUCAGACAAAGCUGGAUGCUGAGCAACUCAGUGAGACCCUGUCUCUA